rnacentral:rRNA from 1 species
GACAGUUCGGUCCCUAUCUGUGAUGGGCGUUGGAAGUUUGAGGGGAUCUGGCCUUAGUACGAGAGGACCGGGCUGGACCAACCUCUGGUGUACCGGUUGUAGCGCCAGCUGCACCGCCGGGUAGCCAUGUUGGGUAGGGAUAAGCGCUGAAAGCAUCUAAGCGCGAAACCCGCCCCGAGAUGAGACUUCCUUUAAGGGUCGUCAGAGAUUAUGACGUUGAUAGGCCGCAGGUGUAAAGGCAGUAAUGCCAAAGCCGAGCGGUACUAAUUGCCCGUACGCUUCG